GUCUCAACCCAUCCUGCCCCCUUAAGUGGGUUUGCGCGUCCAACAUAUUGACUAUUUUCAAAUAUAUUUUUUUUAUUUAAAGAAUAAAAAAUUUUAUUGAAACUUUUAAGUUUAUUAAAUAUACAAAUUUAAAGAAGAAUUUGGGAAAUUUUUAGAAAAAAAUUAUAAACAGUCAGCCAUUGAGACGUCAUUUCCCAUGACCCCUGGGAAAAAGGUGCUUUCGCGUUGACAGCACAAUUCCUGACAGAAUCAUCAGAAAUGAAAAGACUAAAUAUUUUCUUUUAGUACAGACCUAAAACUAGAAACUGAAGGAAGGAAAAAAUAAUCAAUUGAAAAUUGGAUUUUUGGGGCACCUUUUUGCAAAAAAUUUAAAUUUUGGUGAACAUUUUUGAACAUACAUUUUUUGAAAAUAGGUGUUAUCAACGAAAAAAAAAUCCCUCAUUCAAGUUCUAGAUAAUCGUAUCCCAAAGGCCUGUGCAAAAUUUUAUCAAGAUCGGUUGAGUAGUUUCCGAGAAAUCUUGACAACCAACUUUGAAAACACAGUUUUGAGAAAAACGCGCUUAAAGUUUGCGCUCUGCCUUUACCUGAACUCGAGCGUCAACCUUUUCAGGACUGUAUCUCCGAAACUUUUAUUUGAAUCGAAUUGAAAAUUUGGGAGAAUAUUCUCAAGAUUCUUUAAAAUUUUAUAAAAAAAUAAAAAAAUCGAUUUUUUUGAAGCCGCCAAACCCACCUAACCCCUUAAAAAAAAUGAAGUUAUAUUCCGUUCAUUCAGUUAUAGGAUAGCUAUAGUAUAUAGUCGGCCGAUCCUGGCCGUUCCGACUUAUAUACUUCCUGCAAGGAAAUAAAGGAUGUGUGCAAAGUUUCAACUCGAUAGCUUUAUAACUGAGAGACUAGAUUGGGUAGAAACAGUCAGACGGACAUGCUUAUAACGACUCAGAAGGUGAUCCUGAUCAAGAAUAUAUACACUUUAUAGGGUCGGGAUGUCUGCACACUUUUGACCAAAUUUAUAAUAACCUCUUCAAGGGUAUAACAAUGCUUUCAUAGCAGUCUUUCAUUUUCAUUGGCACAAAAACUUAUAAAUCAAAUUUAACAAUCAAUUGUAAUAUUAUAAAAUUAGGGACCGAUGUUUCAUUAAACAUCGAUAUAUCGGUUAACAUCGAUAUCAACAAAUACCUCGGAAAACAUCCCAAAAACAAACAUCGAUACUCCAAGCAUCGAUUUUUUCAGCAUCACUACUAGCCCAGCCCUUCGUUCCCUUGGUCGUGAGAGGCUCAGAUAAAAAUUAUUUGAGUCCCAGUCGGGCCUGAUGCUCGCCAAACGGACAUCCCGCGAUCGGAAAAGAUGUGCGCUGCGCACUCCCAAAUGCGGAAAACCGUCAUUCCGUUUUACAUUGGCGUGUCUGAACGCAUACACCUUGCGCAGCAAAUAUCACGUUGUCGCGCACGAUGUCGCGCUAGAACAGCUUGAGAUCUCACCCAGGGAAAUUUUGGUUGAAACAAAGGUCCCUUGCUUUUUGCUUUGUUUUUGUUUUUACCAACCAUGCCAUUGAUUUUUACUUAAUUCGAAAUGGGUUGUUUGUCUUAUUUAUUUAUUAUUUAUUAUAUUUUAAUCUUAUUUACCUUAAACUUAACCAAAACUGAAAUGAUAAAAAAAAACUGAAAAUAAAUUUUUUAGGAUAUAUAAAGAUAUUAAUUGAGACGUGCAAAUGUUAGUACAGCCAGAACUGAAAAUAUUUAUUUAUUAAAAUAAUGUUUAUUCCUCAUUAUUAAAAUAAUCAAAAGGGAAUAAUUAAAUGAAUCCAGCAGUAAACAUACUAGUGUUGGGUUGCUCAUGAGUGAGUGAAAAAAAAAGAGUUGUUCACUCAACUGAGCGAGUAAACAUGUUCUUUCCUUUUUGUUCACUUGCUCAUUUUUGCUCACUUGGUCAUUUUCCACAAAUUAAAAUGCAGAGAUAUCGCAUAUUAAAUUUUUUUUUUUUUAUUCAAUUAUCCAUGAAGGAUUUCAUUUAACUAUUUUUAAAUGCCCAAUGAAGGGAGCAAAAGUUUUGCCACAAAUUAAAAUGUAAAAAUAGCGGUAAGUUUGAAAAUUAAAUAUGAAACAUAAUCUAUUUUUGAAAAGUCGUUAAGAUGCAGUGCUCAUUGGCUUGGUAAUGCACUGAACAACCAGUGAGCAACUGAGCAAUGAACAGUGAGCAAGUGAGCAAUAUGAUUGAGUUGACUCUUUUGAAAAAAAAGAACAAGUGAACAUGUUCACCUAAAAGAGCAGUAUUUACACAACACUAAAACAUACCCUUUCACAAUAAUAAACAAAUACGACGCACUUUUAGCAAUCCAAUGUGACCGUUUCGAUUUGGGUUGAUUUAUCAUAAAGAAAUGCACCAAAUUAAUGUCCGUCAAAAUAGCGUCACCUAGUUAGCGUCCAAAUGGAACGGUGGAAUCGGAACACAGCAACGAAUUUUAUUUAUUUUCAAUUAUUUUACUGUUUAGCCACUAAAUUGAUUGAAAUAAAGUUUAGAAUUGUUAAGAAUUGAA